GCAUGUGCGCCAUCUGUAUUAAAAAUUUUUAACUUAGUAAGCAUCAUUUCGAGUGUGAGGUUUCAAUGGAAGUGUUGUAGUGGCGACGUUGCUAGUUAAAUAUAAACAAAUCGAAAUAUGGACAUCCCUCCUGUUACGUUUUAUG
rnacentral:lncRNA from 1 species